ACACUCUUUUAAGAUUGACCCAGUGAUUUAUGAAGCUAACACAAAAGGGUAAAGUAAGUCUCUAUACAAUCCAGAGAAGGCAUCAGAGAACUCCUCCUUGGGUCCUGUCUGGAGUCAUUGCU